CCUUUGAGUGUAAACGGGGACUGCGAUUAUGAUGUGAUAGUCAUUCUCAUCAUUGUUACCUAAGACAUUAGCCCCGGCAACCACAGAGAGAUAUUUUCCAGCUGGUUUUGAGGAAGUGAGCUGCCAUGUACUAGGCCACGUGGCAAGGGCCUGGUUGGGGACCUCCAGGGGUUGAGAGCAUCCUCUGGACAACAUGGAAAAAGAAAAUGAAAAUGGUGACCUCAGCCCUAUAGCUAGAAGGAAUUGAAUCCUGUCAACAACGAUACUCAUCACUCACUGCAGAUGUUACUUUAAGACAUUCUGGAGCAGCGUCAUGUGCAGUCAUGUGAAAGUAUAUUCCAAACCCAGAACCUGAGCACAGAUUGGGACUGAGAAACACUUGUCUAGAUUGUCAGGCAAUCUGUAACAUCAGCAGUGGAUGGAAAGAAGGAGAAAGAUGAGUUUUAUGGACGCUAACCCAUCUAUAUGGCUUUGGAAAAUAAAGUACUGCUGUUUUUUUUUGUAAAGGAUUUUUAUUUUUUAUCUUUACAUACAUCUCCC
rnacentral:lncRNA from 1 species